AGUGAACGCUGGCGGUAGGCCUAACACAUGCAAGUCGAACGGCAGCACAGUAAGAGCUUGCUCUUACGGGUGGCGAGUGGCGGACGGGUGAGGAAUACAUCGGAAUCUACUUUUUCGUGGGGGAUAACGUAGGGAAACUUACGCUAAUACCGCAUACGACCUACGGGUGAAAGCAGGGGAUCUUCGGACCUUGCGCGAUUGAAUGAGCCGAUGUCGGAUUAGCUAGUUGGCGGGGUAAAGGCCCACCAAGGCGACGAUCCGUAGCUGGUCUGAGAGGAUGGUCAGCCACACUGGAACUGAGACACGGUCCAGACUCCUACGGGAGGCAGCAGCGGGGAAUAUUGGACAAUGGGCGCAAGCCUGAUCCAGCCAUACCGCGUGGGUGAAGAAGGCCUUCGGGUUGUAAAGCCCUUUUGUUGGGAAAGAAAAGCAGCAGGUUAAUACCCCGCUGUUCUGACGGUACCCAAAGAAUAAGCACCGGCUAACUUCGUG
rnacentral:rRNA from 1 species